rnacentral:rRNA from 1 species
ACUCCUACGGGAGGCAGCAGUGGGAAUAUUGCACAAUGGGAAAGACCCUGAUGCAGCCAUGCCGCGUGUGUGAAGAAGGCCUUCGGGUUGUAAAGCACUUUCAGUAGGGAGGAAGGUAGUGUAGUUAACACCUGCACUAUUUGACGUUACCUACAGAAGAAGCACCGGCUAACUCCGUGCCGCAGCCGCGGUAAUACGGAGGGUGCGAGCGUUAAUCGGAAUUACUGGGCGUAAAGCGCAUGCAGGCGGCCUGUUAAGUCAGAUGUGAAAGCCCGGGGCUUAACCUCGGAAUUGCAUUUGAAACUGGCAGGCUAGAGUCUUGUAGAGGGGGUAGAAUUUCAGGUGUAGCGGUGAAA